CCCUUAGAUGCUCUGGGCCGCACGCGCGCUACACUGGUCGAUGCAACGAGUUUCUUUCCUUGGCCGACAGGCCUGGGCAAUCUUUGAACAUCGAUCGUGAUCGGGAUAGAUUCUUGUAAUUUUUGAUCUUAAACGAGGAAUUCCUAGUAAACGCAAGUCAUCAGCUUGCAUUGAUUACGUCCCUGCCCUUUGUACACACCGCCCGUCGCACCUACCGAUUGAAUGGUCCGGUGAAAUCUCCGGACUGGCGUGAGUCGGAGCAAUCUGACAAACACCGGAAAGUUGAUUAAUCCUUACCAUUUAGAGGAAGGUGAAGUCGUAACA
rnacentral:rRNA from 1 species